UGACGGAGCAAGACCGCGUGGGGGAUGAAUGCCUAAUGGUUGUAAUCCCCUUUUAUUCGGGAAGAUAAUGACGGUACCGAAUGAAUCAGCCUCGGCUAACUCCGUGCCAGCAGCCGCGGUAAUACGGAGGAGGCAAGCGUUAUCCGGAAUUAUUGGGCGUAAAGCGUCCGUAGGUGGUUGAACAAGUCAGUUGUUAAAGAGUGGUGCUUAACUCCAUACGGGCGAUUGAAACUGUUUAUCUAGAGUNUGGUAGGGGUUGCGGGAAUUCCCAGUGUAGCGGUGAAAUGCGUAGAUAUNGGGAAGAACACCGGUGGCGAAAGCGCGUAACUGGAC
rnacentral:rRNA from 1 species